rnacentral:rRNA from 1 species
CACGUAGGGCGCAAGCGUUGUCCGGAAUUAUUGGGCGUAAAGAGCUCGUAGGCGGUCUGUUGCGUCCGCUGUGAAAACCCGGGGCUUAACCCCUGGCUUGCAGUGGAUACGGACAGACUAGAGGUAGGUAGGGGAGAAUGGAAUUCCCGGUGUAGCGGUGAAAUGCGCAGAUAUCGGGAGGAACACCGGGGGCGAAGGCGGUUCUCUGGGCCUUACCUGACGCUGAGGAGCGAAAGCGUGGGGAGCGAACAGG